rnacentral:tRNA from 1 species
AGGUAAGGUGGCCGAGAGUAAAGGCGGUGGUUUGUAGCCCCAAGAACAGAGGUUUGAGUCCUCUUCUUACCA